rnacentral:lncRNA from 1 species
CGCAGCUCCAGUAGUCUUCCCAAGGCAAACUGCCCGGCAGAUUCCGAGACAAAGAGCAGAAAAGCUCCGGCCCGGGAUGAUCAUUGUGCCUAGGGUGAUUGUAAGGAUGAAGUGAGUUGACACUCAUAUACCUCAGAACUGCACCUGGCACAGUGAGCACUGAUUAACCUGCCCUGUCUGCAUCCAUCUUCCUGGCCAUGAUUGUGGAGUCUCAAGAGGCAGGUAUGGUAUGUUUUAUGCACAGUCCUAGAGUCAUAGAAGAUCUAGGCCUCCUGUAAUAGACUAGGACUGAAAGUUUUGCACUGGAUUUUUCUUACACAGAAGUGAGGUUCUUCUGACAAGUGGCAAGAAGAGACUGUUGUAGAGACUCCUAGGUUUCUGCAUGUAUGGUGGGG